rnacentral:rRNA from 1 species
CGCGUAGGCGGCUGUAUAAGUCUGAUGUGAAAGUGCGGAGCUUAACUCCGUAAAGCAUUGGAAACUGUACGGCUUGAGGACAGGAGAGGAAAGUGGAAUUCCACGUGUAGCGGUGAAAUGCGUAGAUAUGUGGAGGAACACCAGUGGCGAAGGCGACUUUCUGGACUGUAACUGACGCUGAGGCGCGAAAGCGUGGGGAGCGAACA